AACGAACGCUGGCGGCAGGCUUAACACAUGCAAGUCGAACGCAUCCUUCGGGGUGAGUGGCAGACGGGUGAGUAACGCGUGGGGACGUGCCCUUCAGUUCGGGAUAACCCAGGGAAACUUGGGCUAAUACCGGAUACGUGCGAGAGCAGAAAGAUUUAUCACUGAAGGAUCGGCCCGCGUCUGAUUAGCUAGUUGGUGGGGUAAUGGCCCACCAAGGCGACGAUCAGUAGCUGGUCUGAGAGGAUGAUCAGCCACAUGGGGGCUGAGACACGGCCCAAACUCCUACGGGAGGCAGCAGUGGGGAAUAUUGGACAAUGGGCGCAAGCCUGAUCCAGCCAUGCCGCGUGAGUGAUGAAGGCCUUAGGGUUGAAAAGCUCUUUCGUCCGGGACGAUAAUGACGGUACCGGAAGAAGAAGCCCCGGCUAACUUCGUGCCAGCAGCCGCAGUAA
rnacentral:rRNA from 1 species